GUUAUCGUACGUCCGUAUUUUCCAGACAUUUUUAUAUAUUUAAAAAGUCCUCCCAGACGGCGAUUAACUACUAAAAUGCUAGACAUGUCCGGGAAAAUACGGACAUUUGGUAACCCUACAUUCACCCUUGUAUACACCAUGCCCUAUGCCAUCUGUAUGGCCGAAACAAAUUACAUUGAAGGAAGAAUAUCGACUGGUUUCUAGGGACAACGAUUGCAUCGAUCCAGUCCAAGGGAGACAUAUGAGCCCUCUAUUCAAAUCAAUCAACUUUCCUUGAAGCUACAAUGGCACUGAAACCUGUUUACUCCCCCUGGAAAAAGCAGAUUUAUAAGAAGCUGUUGCUGAUGCUUAAGAGCAAAUCGUGACCACCUGGAGUCUGUGUAGAUCCUGCCAGAAGAAUAUCUCCAGGCUUUCAUUCAUCUGCAGUAAGCCAACAUCUGGAAAAUGAUCCAAGCCGGAGACAGCGAAGAAUACAGGCUGGAUUGCAGUGCAAGUAGAUAAGCCUCGUGCCAUUGCCUGGCGCCCUCUCUGUCACUCAAUGCAAGGGGUGGUGCUGCAGGAUGCCUUGCUUUUCAUGUGUUCACCCCGUGGGCUGGGUUGAGGACCGAGGAGAAAAUGAAGGGCAGACAUGCCAGGAGAGGGAAGGAAUUGCACACUGCAGUGCCUUUUAAGGAACCUACCUAGAGAUGGAGGUGUUACUGAUCAGAGGUCCAUUCUCAGAGCCGAAGUCUUGUCUUCAGAAACUGCGGUGUCCUUUUUGCAGCCUGCCCCCCAGUGAGGAACGAUUUCAGUUGCUUCUUUGAGCAACAUGUGGCAUUUCUUCAGGUCGCUGGUCAUCGAACGUUAUUUCCGCCUGACAGCUGUCCAGUGGCUUUCACAAGACAAAGCAUCCGUCUCAGUCCAGCGCCGUGUGGCCGUGUAUCCACAUCACAAUAGCCAGCACAGCCCUGAGCCUUAUUGUCGGCCUCUCCAGAGAAGCCCACGACUGAAUGAGCCACGGAAAACACCAUUCACCUCCUCAAGAACGCUGGCAGAGAGGUCUGGGUGGAGGAAUCCUGAUGCACUCCCCGGAGAAAGCUUACACGGCUGCUGCCACUUUUGGGCCAGUUUGGUGGAAUAACUAAGGCCUUCAAGGCUGCCAGUCGAGUACUAAUGUCACUUUAGCUCCAGUUAUUCAGGAACAGCAAACAAAGCACAAGCAGUUUUGGUCACUGGGCUAGAUCUUCAGCUUGUGUAAAUCGGUGACACAAAAGAGCUCCAUUAACUUAAACCAGCUGAGGUACCAACCCAUGAAAAUUGUAGAGAGUCUGUUAACAGUAUUGACAGUGUGACCUCUCAGCUUUUAUAAAUAAAUAUAAAUUAAUGAAGAUAUCCUAUCUCCUAGAACUGGAACUGGAAGGGACCUUGAAAGGUCAUUGAGUCCAGCCCCCUGCCUUCACUAGCAGAACCAAUUACUGAU